rnacentral:rRNA from 1 species
AUUGAACGCUGGCGGCAUGCCUUACACAUGCAAGUCGAACGAGAACGGAUUAUAGCUUGCUAUAAUUGUCAGCUAAGUGGCGCACGGGUGAGUAAUAUAUAGAUAACCUGCCCUCUAGAAAGGAAUAACAGUUGGAAACGACUGCUAAUGCCCUAUAUGCCUUUAAUACAUAAGUAUGCAAGGGAAACGCUUUAGUGCUAGAGGAUGGGUCUGUAUGGUAUCAGCUUGUUGGUGAGGUAAUGGCUCACCAAGGCUAUGACGCCUAACUGGUUUGAGAGGAUGAUCAGUCACACUGGAACUGAGACACGGUCCAGACUCCUACGGGAGGCAGCAGUGGGGAAUAUUGCACAAUGGACGAAAGUCUGAUGCAGCAACGCCGCGUGGAGGAUGACACAUUUCGGUGCGUAAACUCCUUUUAUAUAGGAAGAUAAUGACGGUACUAUAUGAAUAAGCACCGGCUAACCG